rnacentral:lncRNA from 1 species
AUUGUACGCAACUUGAAUUUGUGACCUCCUAAUCACAUUGCAGCAACAUUACUAUCUACGCUGAGGUUCCCAGCCCGACUCCAACAUACAUGAGGCCCAGAAUGUUGAUUAGUGCAAAUCAAUCAAAAGUUGCAGCACAAGCUUGAGUUUAAUUUGCAGUAGAGCAGAUUCGCACGAGGGCAUGAUGUCCUAUAAUGAAGACAGGUGAAGCUUUUUUUCGUUUUGUUAUCAAAACGCUGCUCAAAAUAUGUAUGAAGGCGGAGGAAAGACUAAGACAGUCACCAAGCAAUCAGAUUCAGUUAACACACUUCAAUAACAUUUCAGGUACAAAAAAGAUCUUCCUCUUCUUUCUAAACAUCAAAGAGAUGGAAAAAGAUUGAUACAGACCUGUGAGAUUGUGGUCAUCAUUAAGCAGUGAAGGCAAAGAUGCAUCAGCCAUUCAACAUAGGAAUUCAUGGAAGGGUAUUAUGCCAUCAUCAGAACAGGUUCAAGUGAGAUAACAAGUACCAAGAAGUAAAAGAUCCACAUGAUGCAGGGAGCUUAGUGAAAUGAAGAACGUCUGCAAGUCUGGGACGGAUAGAACAAGGGUUGAGAAACUCUAGUACACGAGCUAUCAGAAAGUCUAAACGAACGAUUAACAUGAUGCAUAUCUCAAAUAUUCACCUACUAGGCUCCAACUGCU